rnacentral:rRNA from 1 species
UACGAAGGGGGCUAGCGUUGUUCGGAAUCACUGGGCGUAAAGCGCACGUAGGCGGACCUUUAAGUCAGGGGUGAAAUCCCGGCGCGCAACCUCGGAACUGCCUUUGAUACUGGAAGUCUCGAGACCGGAAGAGGUGAGUGGAAUUCCUAGUGUAUAGGUGAAAUUCGUAGAUAUUAGUAAGAACACCAGUGGCGAAGGCGGCUCACUGGUCCGGUUCUGACGCUGAGGUGCGACAGCGUGGGGAGCAAACAGG